CUCUUUUCACACUGAGCUGAGAAAUUGUUCUUCAAAAUGUAAUGACCUGACACCACCUCUUUUGCUGUUUUAUGCCUCCGCUACGGCGACAGUCGUGGCCGGAAGCAUUAUGUUUUCAUUAUGUUGUCCGUCCGAUCCAUUCUUGUGAACGCGAUAUCUCAGGAACGCCGCGGGGGAAUUUCUUUAAAUUUGGCACAAAAGUCCACCUAGACUCAAGGAUGAACUGAUUAGAGUUUGGUGAUCAAAGGUCACUGUGACCUCACAAAAUACAUUUUAGGCCAUGACUC